AGACAUUUACGUUCACGUCGGACUGGACGUCCAUCAGNGUUNUAGCAUGGCUGUCGUCAGGCGUCGGUGUCGAUGAGAUGUUGGGUUCAACGUCCCGCAACGUAGACGCAAUCCCUCGGUCCUUAGUUGCCAGCAUUUGGUUGGGCACUCUAAGGAAACUGCCGGUGAUAAGCCGGAGGAAGGUGGGGAUGACGUCAAGUCCUCAUGGCCCUUACACGCUGGGCUACACACGUGCUACAAUGGCGGUGACAGUGGGCAGCAAGCACGCGAGUGUGAGCUAAGUCUCCAAAAGCCGUCUCAGUCNCGGAUUGUUCUCUGACAAUCGAGAGCAUGAAGGCGGAAUCGCUAGAUAAUCGCGGAUCAAGCAUGCCGGGAAGAAUAAGUCCCCGGGUUCUUGUA
rnacentral:rRNA from 1 species